rnacentral:rRNA from 1 species
AUUGAACGCUGGCGGCAGGCCUAACACAUGCAAGUCGAACGAGUGGCGGACGGGUGAGUAAUGUCUGGGAAACUGCCUGAUGGAGGGGGAUAACUACUGGAAACGGUAGCUAAUACCGCAUACCAUCAGAUGUGCCCCGAUGGGCUUAGCUUGUUGGUGGGGUAACGGCUCACCAAGGCGACGAUCCCUAGCUGGUCUGAGAUGGUGACCCGUCCAACUGGCACUGAGACACGGUUCAGACUCCUACGGGAGGCAGCAGUUGGGAAUUGUGCACAAUGGGCGCAAGCCUGAUGCAGCCAUGCCGCGUGUAUGAAGAAGGCCGUCGGGUUGUAAAGUACUUUCAGCGGGGAGGCGUUACCCGCAGAAGAAGCACCGGCUAACUCCGUGCCAGCCGCCGCGGUAAUUC